UAUCCUCCACGUUUCUUUAUUCUCCAAAAUUGACUUCCAAGUCGGUCGACGAUUGAUGAACGGACCGAACGAAAGCGACUCCCUUGCGACAUCGUUACAAUUUGACCCCUCCACGAGGGCCAUUAUAACAGGAUGCCCUGACGGGACCUCUGGAAAGAUCACCGUUCUGGGUGUUGUCGAUCGCUGACGUACGUGUGGCGCGCCGACUCCGCUCUUCGUGGGCGGCAAUGGCAAGACGUUUGUAUGAGAAGCCGGAGCGGUCAAGGAUACACAGUUGGCCGACACACGCUCUGCGGUUACUGCAACAUCCUUAAGGUGUGUCAUGGUUGUUGAGAUGGAUCGUGGCGCGUCCAUGGAGAUGAAGAUCCAGCGCAGAUCCAUACCCCUCUUUAAUACUAUAUGAUUUUAACGACGCAAAAUUAUAUAUAAUUAUAUUAUAUAUAUAUAUAUAUACUUAAGAAUAAAAACAAAUUAAAAUACCCAUAUUGCAAAGUGAAGAGAAGUCGGCUCCAAACAAAAUCCCAAUCAGACACGAAGCCAAUAUAAAAUAUGCGACGAGACGCUAUUCACUUGAUUGUUUGGAUGCGAAUGCAUACACACGUAGCUCUGCUCACUCGUCUGCACGUACGAUUUGAAGGGUCGGAGUGUUUCAUCAGUCCGUCCGUCCGUCGUAGAAUUGCGUAGAACGAAUCCGCAGGAAUGUGCCCGCGCACCGCAUCGCGACGCGUCUCUCUAUCACACAAUCAACUCGGUGUAAGAAAGGUCCCAAAUACAUUUUGUACAUCACAUCCAAUCGGAGUUUUCCAUUUGAAACAUUAUUAUUAUUAUUAUUAUUAUUAUAUUGUCGGAAAAGAAGUAACUAUGGUGGAGAGGUUGUAUCUAUCUAUGUUAGUUGAUACAAUUCUGUGCCCAUUAUCUCUGAGUGAAUAAGUUGCUUGUUAUUAUUUAUCUAUUUUGCAAUUCGUCAUGUUAAUAAGCUGCUGCUUCUUGCUUUUCUUUUUCUUUCAUCGAAUGGCCAUUGAAGUUUGUAAGUAGUACCAUAAUUACUUCUGAACGUGUUAUGGUUAAAGUGGGUUAAUUUAACCCUAAUAAAUCAAACCCUAAGUUAACGGAAUCUUGGGAAUCUGUUGAUUAGUAAUUGAUGCAUUGAUUAAUUUGUUUUGCAUGACCAAAUUUUCCUGCUGAUCUGGUUAAGUUAGUAUACUUGUGUUUAUGUUGUCAACUUCAAGGUUCUUUGUGUGACUGAUCUGAUGCUACAUUCUUCGUGUUUCAGACCCAGCAGAAGCAGAAGGAACAUUCUCCAGAAAAGGAUGGUGAUGAAUAAAUGAUUUGUGAAGGCUGCUCGUUCGCCGACGGUGAGAGAGGAUUUAUAGCAAACCUCAUCUCCUAGACGUUGGUGAGAUAAACAUGACUUGGUUCUUUUCUUGCAGUGAGAUAUCGACACACAUUCUGAUAUAAAAAAGAGAUUAAGAUGGGUCGUAAAAUAUUCAAGUAUUUCUAUGUCUUUUUUUUUUUUUCUCCCGAUGCUGAUGCUGAUGCUGUGAUAAACUGGUUGCUGUUAGUUCUCGUGCUGAACUGAAGAUGGUCUGCAUUUC
rnacentral:lncRNA from 1 species